rnacentral:rRNA from 1 species
UACGUAGGUGGCAAGCGUUGUCCGGGAUUUACUGGGCGUAAAGGGCGCGUAGGCGGCGUGACAAGUCACUUGUGAAAUCUCUGAGCUUAACUCAGAACGGCCAAGUGAAACUGUUGUGCUAGAGUGCAGAAGGGGCAAUCGGAAUUCUUGGUGUAGCGGUGAAAUGCGUAGAUAUCAAGAGGAACACCUGAGGUGAAGACGGGUUGCUGGGCUGACACUGACGCUGAGGUGCGAAAGCGUGGGGGAGCAAACAGG